AGGAGCCGUAUGAGUCAAAAGGCUCACGUACGGUUUUGGAGUCAAGUAAAGAGGGGCGACCUUCUUUACUUAGAU
rnacentral:misc_RNA from 1 species